rnacentral:rRNA from 1 species
GUAGGUGGCAAGCGUUGUCCGGAAUUAUUGGGCGUAAAGCGCGCGCAGGUGGUUCUUUAAGUCUGAUGUGAAAGCCCCCGGCUCAACCGGGGAGGGUCAUUGGAAACUGGGGAACUUGAGUGCAGGAGAGGAAAGUGGAAUUCCACGUGUAGCGGUGAAAUGCGUAGAUAUGUGGAGGAACACCAGUGGCGAAGGCGACUUUCUGGCCUGUAACUGACACUGAGGCGCGAAAGCGUGGGGAGCAAACAGGGAUUAGAUACCCUGGUAGUCCACGCCGUAAACGAUGAGUGCUAAGUGUUGGGGGGGUUUCCCACCCCUCAGUGCUGCAGCUAACGCAUUAAGCACUCCGCCUGGGGAGUACGGUCGCAAGACUG